AAGUCGUAACAAGGUUUCCGUAGGUGAACCUGCGGAAGGAUCAUUACCUAGAGUUGUAGGCUUUGCCUGCUAUCUCUUACCCAUGUCUUUUGAGUACCUUCGUUUCCUCGGUGGGUUCGCCCGCCGAUUGGACAAAACUUAAACCCUUUGUAGUUGCAAUCAGCGUCUGAAAAAACUUAAUAGUUACAACUUUCAACAACGGAUCUCUUGGUUCUG
rnacentral:misc_RNA from 1 species